CACGGAGUUAGCCGGGGCUUAUUCCUCUGGUACCGUCAAACCUAUCUUCACGAGACAGGCGUUCUUCCCAGAUAAAAGCGGUUUACAACCCGAAGGCCUUCAUCCCGCACGCGGCAUCGCUCGAUCACCCUUUCGGGCAUUGUCGAAGCCUCUAGACUGCUGCCCCCCGUAGGAGUCUGGGCCGUAUCUCAGUCCCAGUGUGGCUGGCCAACCUCUCAGUCCAGCUACCCAUCGUAGCCUUGGUAGGCCGUUACCCUACCAACUAGCUAAUGGGGGUGACCCCAUCCUUAAGCGCAUAAAUGCUUUACUCUGCGAUCCGUAAACCACAGAGACCAUGCGGUAUUAGCUCCCGUUUCGGAAGUUAUCCCCCAUUAAGGGCAGGUUAGUCACCUUGUACUCACCAGUUCGCCGCUCUACUCACAGUCCGAAGACCGCUUUCGCGCACGACUUGCAUGCCUAAUCCAUGCCGCCAGCGUUCGUUCUGAGCCAGGAUACAAACUCU
rnacentral:rRNA from 1 species